GGGGCCUUAGCUCAGCUGGGAGAGCACCUGCUUGGCUAGCAGGGGGUCGUCGGUUCGAUCCCGACAGGCUCCACCA
rnacentral:tRNA from 1 species